rnacentral:lncRNA from 1 species
UUUCCUUUUCUUUCUCCCCUUAUUUGACGCCCUGAGGAGUUCUCUUAUCUAAUUUUUGUUUAUCAAAGGUAAUGGUAGAAAAUGUCUCUGUUUAUUUUAUUGUACAGUUCAGGUUUCAAUCAUAUAAGAUUGUAUAUGAAUUAUUUGUGAAAUAUAAUCUUGCAGAUUCCUGUUUGCUUUCUUUUUCUGCUGCUUAGUUAAUUAUCUCGUGUUUAAAAUUUCUCUUUUCCAUCUUUUCAUAUAAAUUCAUUGAAAGGAAUCUUCUAGAAACAACAAUCCUUCCUUCUUAGUAGCCCCUUCUUUUUCCCAAUGUUUGUUGAUGCUGCAAUCACUACAUUUUUUCUGGUCAAAAACAUAGUAGACUUGAGACCCUGUAAGGUCAUAGCUUGAAAUUUUGGAUAAUUAUUUCUUUAAGUUCCAUAGUCUUUAACUUUUCCUAAUUAUACUUACGUUAGUUGACUGAAAACCUCUAAGUAUGUCAAGAAAACUGGUGAGCAUAUAGGUAUUUAAGGCAAUUCAAGAAACAUUGUGAGCAUAUAGGUAUUUGAGGGAAUCCACAUGUGAACCAUAUUGUGGAAGAACAACUAUGUUGACUCAAAAACUUUAAAUAUGUCGAGAGACAUUGUAAGCCUAUAGGUAUUUGAGGCAAUCGUAAUUGAAUUUGUCUGAAAUAAAAGGUUAUACCGACAAAAAUAAGAUCCUACUAUUAUUUUCUACCGAGGAACCUUUAUAGGAUGGUAGGAAGUUGAAAUUAGUUGUAUGUUUUAGUUGAUGUUAUUCUUUGUAUGAAAUCAAUAAAGAAAUGCUAUGCAAACAGGAGAUUAAACAUUAGGGAUUAAGGUUAAGAGGUGAUGAAGGAUUAAAGUAAUUUAGUAGCCCUUAAUGGCUCUGGUUGUGCUUUAUAAAAGUUGAGUGCCCAAUGAGUUAAAACGCUUCUGGUUUAGCUUAUUAACACAAGACCCUGAGAAAAUCAAGUAUUUAGAAAGGAAAAAAUAAAUAUUUGAGGCUGACAUCUUGAGUGUUGAACAGAAAGUUGAAUCAUCUGCUUUGAUUUAUCAUUUAUGUGCAUUAGUUCAUGAACAGAAGUGUUUCCUGUUCUAUUUGGUGGACCAAGAGCUGUCUUCUCAUAUGGUUAAACGAGUAUAAUAUGUCAGCUGCUUGGGCAUACUUAUAUGCUUUGAGAAUUGGAAGAUGAGAUUAGGAGCUUGACACUGCUAAGACUGCUAUGCUUGAAAUAGAGUUAUGGAAAGACGAUAGUAAUAGUGACUCCUUCCUGUUGGAGAGGAGGCGUAGUGAUAACGCAUCAUAUAAGCUGUUAAAAAUGUUUCCUUGCUCUGAGAAAGUUGGUUACUUCCGAUUAGGGCUUUGUUUUUCCCUGUCAGAUAUCCUCGUCUAACUCAUAGGCAGGCCUAGAUCAAGUAUUUGGAACCUCAUUCAUUAUCAAAGUAUCUACUGCCAAGCCUUGAGUAAAUUAUUUUGUUUCUAGGAAGAUUUAGAUUUUGUGAUACUUGAGCUUUGAGAGGAUUAGUAGAUAUAUAGUAUCCGAUUAGGUGAUUUGCUCAUUUGCAACACUUGGACCGGUGCCAUAAAUUAGAGGUCAAACCGAGUUGUGUACAAGAAUCUAGAUACAAAGAUGUAAGAUAGGAACAGAUAUAGAGCUGGUGACAAUGAGAUAAUAUGUGGUUUUACGGCACAAGAUCUUGUUCAACAGGAGCUACCUCCCUUCAGCUUUGCUUGGAUUAUAGGAAGAUUUGGGAAUGAAAACCAUUUAGCCUUGUGCAAAAUUGGAGAAUCCAAGAGAAAAAAUAUGAUGGGUGUGGGGCUUAUACAAGUUAGCUACACUGUUUGUCAUAACAUCUGUUGAAUCCUUUGAUCAUCUUUACAGUUUUACCACUUUGCAUGCCUGACCUGCAGGUCGUUUGAUGAACUAAAUCUAUGUAAGAUUUAUCUGCAAAUGGCAUCUAAUAGGUAUGCAGAAUUCUGUUGCUACUUUUUAACUUCUCUUAUGAAUUUUCUUAAUAUAGCUACUCACCAUGCUGACAUCUUUUUUCCUUUUUCCUUUUGGAUUUUCGAAGUGACGAUAAGAACAAAAUUGAGUGAUGAUUGUAAAUUUGAGAUGAUAAAAGAUAACAUUUCGUUUAUACUGUGUCAUGUUUUGUUCCUCCAAUUUAAUUCUGCUUCAUAGGUUGGCACAGUUAUUUGGUAUGCUUUGAUCCCUGUAAAAAAACUUCCACACAACUUUCUAAUUGAAUUUUGUUAUGGACCCAAAUUCCAUUUGAUAUUACUGUAUUUGUAAUUUCUUCAACGGUACCACUAGGUUAUUGCAUUGAUUUAGGUGUCUUCAUUUGUUUAAUCUACAUGAAAUCCAAUUAUUACUGAUGAAUGAACCAAAUUUCGAGUACAUAAACAUAGAAGCGAUGACAGCAAAAAGGAUAAAAGAUGCAUUGAAACAGUGGUAAAAGUUCUGUGUGGAGAUGAGAAAAUAUGAACUUUUCUAUGAAUAAAUCUAUUAAUGCACUAGCCAAGUCUGGGAUGGUUUUUCUUACAUCUAUAUGGGAUUCUCCUUGGGUACUUUACCUUCACUGGAUGGAUUGGAUAUUAUCAAAACUGAAAAGACUUAGUUAUACAAUAGUUUGUCUAAAUCAAGGAAGUUCAAACUGUUUCAUAGUUUGGUUGUUUUUGUCAUUAUGUUUGUAUUUUGGAUAAUGUUUUUGGAAUUUUUGUCAAAUAUAUGAUUUUUGUUUAUUUAGUAAAUUUUUAGAUCGAAGCCUAAAUAAUAGUUUAAAUAUAAAAUCUAUUUUAAAUUAAAGGUGUUUAUAGACUGCAUCGUGCCUAUAUAACCUAUUAGCACCAAUUAUAUGGCAAAAUCCGUGGUUUAAGUCUCAAAUUUUAUCAAGUUCAUUUGUAAUUUAAAUUUUUAUUUUUUAAUUAAAAAUAAUUUUUAUUUAAUAUUUAGUAAUUAAUACAUUUUUAUCAAAAAUCUAAAUAUAUACAAACUUAACAUAUUUUUUUAUUACUAUUAUAAUAUAUUUAAAUUUCAAAUGAUAUAAAUGAAUAUAAUAUAAAAUAAAAAUUUGAAAAAUAAGUUAGAUUAGGCUAUGAAUAUUGGAAUUUAGUUUUGACUCAUCUCUUAGAAGGGGUUUAAUUUCUUUUAUGAAAACGUACUUGCUAGGUUUAAUGAAGGAGGUAAAUGUCAAAAUCCCGUAAGUCCCGGAUCCGACGGGCUACAAACAAAGAGCGAUUAAUUGGAAAUGAUGGGGCUCUCAGCCCAUUAACUUUGUAAGUGAGCAAAGAGCGGUCGGUUAGGUCAUCUAAUAGUGUCAGCCCAUGCGAUGACACGCGCCCCGCGGUGGGCCAGUGAGUUUGAAAUUUAAUUUAUCAUGUACUGGAUAAGCACAAAUCGUUUAAUCAUUUUCUUACCAACGGAAUAUCACUGGACUCGCUUUCCUAGCGCGUUCCCUCCACUGACACUUUUUUUUUUUAAUCGAUACAUUAAUCAGUACUAUUUUUUUUAUUCUAUAAUAUCAAUAAUGUUUUUAUUUAUGUUUAGAAAUAAUAAAAUAUUUGUUGUUAAUUAAAAAGAGUUUUGUUUUGUAUGAGUUUACCUUUAACUAUAAAUCUACUAUUAAUCAAUUAUAAUAUAUUUUAAGAAAAUUCAUAUACAAUAGAACUUAAAUUCGAAAUAAUUAAAGAAAAAAUCAUAAAUAAUAUUUAGUACGAUGAGACUUAAAUUUAGACGAUUAGAGUUUUUUAAUGCGUCGACUUUACUAACUUUAUUAAAGUAUUAUAAAUUAAUUAUUGUUAUUGUUAUUUUUUAAAUUUAGUUAUUGUUUUAUUGCUUAAAUGGUUUUCUUUUUAAUUUCAUACAUAAAGUUUAAAUUUUGUUGAAUAUGUUUUUAUUUAAAAUAUUUAUUUAUUAAUAUGCCACGAAAAUUAAAUUAUGGUAUAUUUAUGAUAUAAUAGAAAAUAUAUUUAUUAAAAUUUUCAUAUAAAAAUUAAAUGAAAUUUUGAAUUAAACAAAUUUAAACCUUAUGUGAGAUUUUAUCAAUUUUUUAUAAAAAUAUAAAAUAAAAAAAUUUAUGAUUAAUAGCAAUUCUAUCAGAUGUAGAAUACAAAAAAAAAUAUGGUUGCUUUAGUUUAAAUUAAUUGUUAAAAAUAUUGAAAUAAAAAUUUAAUUAAGCUUAAAUUAAUUAAUUAAAUCAUAUGAGUUUGAGAAUUUAUAAUUCUAGAAUCUCAACUUUGCCAACCUAAAUAAUUAUAAUUAAUCAAGAAUAUUUUUAAGGGAUAAUUAAUACCUUUUAAUACUAAAUAAUAAAUAUAAAACAAAAAACAUAAAGUCUUUAAAACAAACACAAAAUUUAUUUUAUUUUUUCAUUAUAGGAAAAAAAAAAUCACAUAAAGGAGAGAAGCACACACACACACAUACACACACACGCGGCCACAAGCAGCAGAGGGUUUUCGCUGAAAAGAAGCCUUUGUUUUUCUUUUAUAAGCAUCGUUUCAAAAAGGAUAUAAUCUCUCUUUUCAAUUCUUUUUUUGCCUCUUUUAAGCUGCUCCGCCUGCUCCUUCGUUGCUGUGAGAGAGAUAGAGAAGACGACAAAAGGAAAAAACCUAAAACUGUGAACGACGUCGUUUCCUUCUCAGAUCUGACACACACAGAGAGAGAUAAAAGAGAAGAGAAGAGAAGAGAAGAGGGGGGGUUAUCCCGGUGAGAGAGAGUGAGGAUGAGCGGGAAAGGAGGCGGAGGUGGAAAUAAUGGGAUAGGGAAGGGUAAUAAUAGUGGACUUUCAGGUAUUCCGCCUGGCUCUCGCAAGAUGGUCCAGAGCUUGAAGGAGAUUGUUAACUGCCCUGAACCUGAGAUCUAUGCUAUGCUUAAAGACUGUAAUAUGGACCCUAACGAGGCUGUCAAUCGCCUCCUCUCUCAAGGUUCCCCCGCCCUUUUUUUCUUUAUUCCUUUUUUAAAUUUCUUUUAGUGCUCCUUUUACCCUUGCUGGGUUUUUUUUUUCGUUAUAGAAAUAUUUAAUUUUUUCGGUUAUGCGAAAGGUUAACUGUUGGGUUUCGGUGCUUUACUAAGGAUAUAAUCUGCUUAAUUGCUAGGUUUCUUGGUUUGCUCCGAGUGCUUUAGUUUAGAGUGUAUUUCCAGCAAUAACAUUUUUUAUAAUAUAUUAGCAUUUGCUAAUAAUUUAUUAAGCCUUCAUCUUAAUAAGAACAUCGCUUUUGUAAUUCUCGAAAAUAUGUUUAUUUUUUUCAUAACAAUGGGGCAGCUCAAGUUUUGGGUUUCUAAUGGUUACUGUAUUUCAUUGCUGAUAUCUUAUUUGCGAUAUGUGUAGAUCCUUUUCACGAGGUGAAGAGCAAACGAGACAAGAAAAAAGAGGUGUGUGCCAGUGGAAAUUACGCUAAAUGGAUUGACUUUGCAUUCAUAACCAUCCCAUAUUUAUUUCUUCUUAGUGUUGCUGUUACACCGUUCGAGCAAUAUAGGUCUUACUGGUCAUAUAGAUCAUGCAUCAUGUGAGACUCUCACUUGCUUUCGGGAUUACGAAUGAGUGUUUAAUCUGAUUCACUUUUGACCGCAUGUGCUUUCUCUUUGAAAGCUUCUUAAAAAUAUAUUCUAACCAUUUGUGAUGGAUUUGUUGGAUCUUAUUAUCUCUUUUGAUUUUUUUUCCUCCCCUUUUUGUUCUAGAGCAAGGACUCAGUUGAAGCGAGGUCUCGUGGUGCCAAUAACCUUGGGAGUCGUGGUGGUAGGAGUGGUUCAGACCGAUAUGCUGGGCGUGGUGGUUCAUCCCAUUACAGUUCAAAUGGUAUGACUGUGAACAUGCUCUAAUGCCACUUUGGAGAUGUGUUGCUUGCACUCCGUUAAAAAAUUGCUUUGGAACUCUUUUAGAUGAUUCCUUACCAAUUGAGUACUCUUUUUUCUGGUUAGAGUCUGGCCCUUCACAUGGUAAACCUGCACAAAAGAGAGAAAAUGGAGGUCAUCCUGUUGCAGGGUUUUCAUCUUCUGCAUCUGGUAUGCGAGGAAAUAACAUGAAUCGUGGACCUCAAUCCCACAGGUAAUACCUGUUAGUCUCAGAAGUUAUAGUUCCUUUAUGUUUACGCCACUGAGGAACAGAAAGCUGCUAUAAGUUCUGAGUUCUAAUGACCUUUCUUUUUCGUGCAUGUCAUUGGAUUCUUUGUCUUGCUUAAAUGAUAUCUAUUUGUAUCAAAUCAUUCUUUCACGGAAUUAGUUACUUCCACCAUUAAGCCUCCCUGGGUAAGCAUUUGAAAUGAUUAUUAUCAAAGGUGGCUAGUUUGGCAAGGACAGAUGGGACCCUAAUUGUUCCAAAUGCUUGCCAAACCAUGUUAACUGGAGUUUGGACCUGAGGCACUCAAACAUUUGUCAGCAACUUCUUUUCAAACUUUUAGUUGGCUGAAUUUGGUUUUCUUUUUCCCUAUCUUUGGAUGGUAUUUAAAUCUCUGUUCCAUAAACCUUGCAACAUAUGGUUUUCUUGUGUUGGCCACUUUCUUCUCAUGUGAGUUUUGCUGGUUUUGCAGUGAAGUUGCAGUUUCAGAACAUAAAAUUUCCACAGUAGGUUUAGGUGAUGGGGUUUCUUCUUCAUCACAGCCUACUGGAUACCAAUCUGCUUGGUUGGGGGUUCCAGGUCAAGUAUCAAUGGCUGAUAUUGUGAAGAUGGGCAGGCCACAAAACAAGACUUCUGUGGUGCCAAACCCAUCUCAGCAAAGCACUAAUAAUCGGCAUCAUGUGGUUCCUCCUCCAGCAGCAUUACAGUCCAACUUACAGGACCAGGCUUCCAAGGUGGCAGAUAUUUCUUACGAGCCUGAUGGCACCAAAAAUCAGCAGGUUUCUCCAAGAGAUGAAUGGCCCCCCAUUGAGAAUCCAUCUGCUGCUAGUGUGACGUCUGUCUUAGAGGCCCCCGCAGAAUCUGGACUUUAUGCUAAUGCAUCUAACUUGGCCUUGGGUAGAAGUAAUCAACAUUUGAAAUCCCAGUUGGAGGAAUCUCAGGCAGUGGAUGAUGGUCCUCUUGAAACUGUCAAUAAUAACCAUGUUAGGUCCCCUUCUAUUUCAAGUAGAAAUAUACAAGAGGAUAACUCCAGAGGUUCAUCUCUUUAUGAUAACGACUUAUAUAAGGACGUGAAUUCCUAUCAGCCUCAAAGACCUGCCUUUGAGAACGAAGAAGGUUAGUGUAGUGCUUUAAAUCACUCAAUUUUGUGCGUUUUCUGAUGAAGGUAGUAUACUGCUUUGAUGAAUGUUUCACUCAGUAUGAAGGAUACAGUACUGAUUAAGGCUUGUAUACACUGAAUGCAAUUUCUUUGACAACCCAUUUCUGAUCUUCAUGCAAUAUGGAUAUGUAUGUUUUAGGGUUACUGUAUUGCUUAUGUUCUCCCUCUCCCAAUGACAAUAUCCUAUGUUGCCAGCAGCUUCUGAUUUUUUUAUUAUCAUUUUCUUCCCCUUUAUAUUAUGUGGAUAUGUGAGGCCGAACAGAAUAAAAUUGGAGUGUAGGAAAACAAUUGAGAACCCGGGGGGGGGGGAUGGUUUAGUUCCAAAUUAUUGAUGCACUAUGAAUCUAUCUGAGUAGGUUUAGUUCAUACAUUGGUAUGGAAUUUUUAAUCUUUUAAUGUAUCCUUUGCUCAUUUUUAUCUGCUAUGAAUGUCUUUUGAACUUAACACAUUUUAUGUCCUUUCUUUUGUUCUUUUUCAGCUGAAGAUGGUUCUUCAUCAGUAGCUGUGGAUUUGCAGCAACUUAAUUUGCAUAAUGAUGAUAGGGAGCCCCCAACUGAAGAGGAUAAUCCUUCUGUAAUAAUUCCAAAUCAUCUACAAGUCCACACCCCGGACUGUUCGCAUUUGAGUUUUGGUAGUUUUGGACCUGGAAUUGGUUCUGGCUUUUCUGGACAAUUUGCAUCAAUGACCACAAAGAAUAAUUUGGAUGAUGUUCCUGAAGUAGCAGAUGCAUCAUCUAUUGGGCACUCAGAUAAUAGGUAUGACCUUCUUAAAAUGCUUAGUGCCUUGCUUCACUUAUCUGUUUGUUACAAUUGUGUAAAAACUUUUGCUUUCAGGAAUCCUGAGUACUAUGGUGAUGAACAUCUCAGAAGUGACACGGAAGGAAAUAUAAUAAAUAGAAGUAAUGUUAGCACUGCAAACUAUGAGGUUCCUGAAGAUUCUCAACCUGAGGUUUUGAAACAGGAUGUUUCUGAAGCUGCCCAAGGGAGCCAAUAUUCAUUUCCUCCAUCUGCGUCUGGUUAUAACUAUGAAAACUCUGAACAAUUAAAUCCUUCUUUCGCCCAUAUGCAGACAAGCUCUCAAAUGCAAAAUCUCAAUCCUUUCUCAAGUGUAAUGGUAAUGCAACUUUACAAAUUUGUUUUUAAUGCAUAAACUCUAUCAUUCCAAGCUGAUGAUUCAACCAUAUGCCAUAGAGUUGGAUUAGAAAUUUUCUUUAAUGUAUAAUGUUCUGGUUGAUACUUGAUAGCGGCAUCUUGUUUACUCGAUUUCAAGAAAACUCCUGUUGUGCUGCUUGAAAUUAUGGAUUAAACCUACUAUAUUUUUGGAAUACAUUGUUAGUUUUCUUGAAUGUCUGUCUCUUCUCAACAUAAUGGUUUUUCUUACAGCAACCAUAUACAAACUCGUUGCCGAGCACUUUGUUGACAUCAACUGUUCAGACUGCAAGGGAGCCAGAUCUUCCAUAUUCACCCUUUCCUGUGACUCAGUCAAUGCCAACAAGAUAUAGCAAUGCCACCUCUUCCAUUAGUGGUCCAACCAUUUCUAUGCCAGAGGUACCCUUUGCUUUAUAUUAUUGAUUUCUUGGUGCUUUUACACUUUUUGCAGUUCUAAUUGUUGGGACUGUUUUUAAUGGUUCAAGUGGCCAAGAAGGGAAAAAAAUAUUGUUCCUUUUUUUUUCUUGCUAACACUUAUGGUGGUCUUAUUUCAAGAUUCUUCUGAAGAUGAAACUUCAUCUUGUCUGAUAUUGGAGCUAUGCGUCAUUUUAGCUGGAACUUUAUGUUGUUUAGUGUCAUUGUGUGUCUUCUGUCAUGUUUAUAUGUUUGACUAGAUAGAUUUUUGGUUGUGAAAACUCAUGUUCUAUGGUGACAUGGAAAUGUCCUCAAACUCUUGUUUCUUGAUAUGGAACAGUGACCUUUGACUACUUCUGUCCAUCACUUUGUUGUCCCGAAUUAUGCGUCUGUCUCUACCUGAUAUGCAUUUAUUAUUAUUGCGGGAUCCACUUUUUGGGGAAUGAGUCAAAGCAAGAACAAUAAUAUUUCUUGUGGAACAUCUUUCAUGAUCCUUGGAGAGAGUUCACUAGUAGAUUUGGUUUGUUUCUCUUUUUUUUUUUUUUAAUGCUUGUGUUGGAGUAAAAGGAGGAGCAAAAACACCCAAAAACAAGAGUUAGGGGUGGGGGAUGGUAAAAUGUGAAAGGCCAAUUUGGACACCUACCUAACUAAAAACAUUUUGUAAUUGGUUGGACUUAAUUGUUCCUUUCUUGAUUAACUUGUUGUACGUGUGCAGGCUCUAAGAGCAACUAGUAUUUCUGCAGCGCAGCCCACAGAGCAGUCACUGCCUGGUGCGAGUGUUGCUACAGGACCUGCACUUCCGCAACAUCUAGCCAUGCACCCUUUUUCCCAACCUACACUUCCAUUGGGACACUUUGCCAACAUGAUUAGUUAUCCUUUCUUACCUCAGAGUUACACCUAUAUGCCAUCAGCUUUCCAGCAAACAUUUACUGGUAAUAAUAACUAUCCUCAGUCCCUGGCAGCAAUGCUCCCCCAAUACAAGAACAGUGUUUCUGUAAGUAGCUUGCCUCAAUCUGCUGCAAUUCCAUCUGGCUAUGGGUUUGGGAGCUCUACCAACAUCCCUGGAGGACUUCCUCUGAAUCCACCUACUGCACCUGCGGGGACAACUAUUGGCUACGAGGAUGUUCUUAGUUCUCAGUACAAGGACAACAAUCAUUUAAUGUCACUCCAGCAGGUAAUUGCUGUACAGAGCAUUGAGAAAUCUCAUUUAGAUUUAAUUGUAUACAUUCAUUACUAUGGAUUUAUGGUGCAUGAAUAAUUUACAUUCAUUCUUAUUGAAAGUACUGAUGAAAAAAUUGUCCUUCCAUUUUCUUCCUUUACUCUCAAAGGUCCAUGAUUUCAUGUAGUGCUACAGUUAUACAUGAGUUCGCAUUCUUUUCUGCUUCUUUGAACCUGAAGCGUGCCCUUUCUUUUCUAUGUUUUUGUGUUUAGAAUGAGAAUUCAGGCAUGUGGAUUCAUGGCCCCGGCUCACGAACGAUGUCUGCUGUUCCUGCAAGCACAUAUUACAGCUUCCAGGGGCAGAACCAGCAGGCUGGUGGGUUUCGACAAGGGCAGCAACCACCUUCACAGCAUUUUGGGUCACUUGGAUACCCAAAUUUCUACCAUUCGCAAACGGGAGUAUCGCUGGACCCUCAGCAGCAAAACCCUAGGGAUGGGUCCCUGAGUGGGUCUCAAGGCCAGCCACCAUCAAAGCAGACCCAGCAGUUAUGGCAAAACAAUUACUAAUCUCGUCUCCUCCUGGUUUUUCAGGGUCUUAUAGUGAGUUUGAAAGUGGCCAAUCAAAGGGCCUUCUAGCGACUGAGAAUAACUAUACGUGCAGAUCAUCAACAAUGAUGGGGUCUGAAGAGACUUUGGCUGGCUACUGCCCUGUGCCAUGAGGUUGUAUUCUACUUUUAAUUUAUUGUUCUGUUCUGUUCUGUUAUGUUAACUUAGGAACACAGUGUGCUAAUUUGGGAUAGUGGACUUACUUUACCCUUUUCACUUUUUCUUCCUUGAUUGUUUCCUUCUUUGCCCCUCUAUUUCUCUUAUAGUAAAAAAAUUGUCUCCUUUUUCAGAUUUCAUAUCUCAUCUCAUGUUUCUUACUCUUACUGUACUGUAGCAUGAGGUAUUUGCUUUAAUCAUUUAUAAUUAAUUAAUACUACCAUUUUAGCCUGUUAUCUUUAUGCUACACUGCUACAUAUCAUGGCUGUUGGGAUCCAUAACUCCCAUUAGCUAUUAUUGUUGCAAUAAUUUUGUUUCGUACGACACUGUGUAUAUAUACACAAAUUAAUCAAUUUAAACAAUUCACAUACCAGAUAGAAGAAUUCCAUGGAGUGGCCUUUAAUUUCUUUGAUAAAAUAGAGGCUUUGCUUGAUUAAAACCCACCCAUAGCAUAGUUCUGAGUUCACACCUAAGGCUUUCGUACCCUAUGCUAUUGUUUAUUGUUAUAUUUUGGGAUGUUUUGAAAAUUUGCUGUUUGUGCUUUCAUUAGAGGGUCAUCUUUACUGAUUAUAAUUAAGAUGGUAAUAUCUAGGGUUUUAAUUCAAACAAGUGUUCACACUCUGCGAUUUUUACUUGUAAGUGAAUGGAAGGAGAUUUAACUAUUAAUGUCACACUAUUGAAUUAAAUUUAUGUCAUAAAAUUAAUAUUUUUUUAAUUGCUACAAAAAUGAUCACUUUGGUCGUUUAUUUGGAAUCGAAUGCAAUGUUGUUUCUUUUUUAAUUUUUCAUGCCCUGUACUAUUUUGAGUUCAUAAAUAUUUUAAGUGAGUUGGAGUAGUUAAGCAGUAUCCAUUUGUGGCGCAAUUAAUAGACAGGUGUGAGAUGUUUCAGCAAAGUUGUCACCCACUUCACUCAAAAUUUCAAUUCAAAGUUCAAACUAACUUUUUCUAGGUCUAAUUGUGAUCAAAACCUCUAACUAUUCUCAAAUGUAAAUUUUAAUAUUUCUGCUUUAGUGACUACUUGCUUUGAUCAAGUAGCUAACUAUUUGACCUAACCAAUAAUAAAAGAUCCAUUACAUGAAUUAAAUAUGGAAUUUGAGCAUAGUGAAAAAACCAAAACCCCGACCCUGUCUCUACUUCUCAAAGAGUGUAGUUGAAAUAACGCCAACAUUUGGAGACUUGCUAAACCAAAACCAACAAAAGGAUAAAGGAAAAAAAGCAUGGUAUUAAUCCAUUUAUUUCGGAUUGUUCUACAGAUUAUCAGUUGUAGACAGCAACAAAAUGUUAUAACAAUAACUUGGAAAAAAAUAUGCUAUCAGCCAUCUACUUUUGACCCUUUUUUACCAGACAGCAACCUCUGCGAUUUUACAAUACCCUGGGGUCCUUUUAUAAACUUUUUUUGGACACUUAAUGCACGCUAUAAAAUCCUAAUCCAAUGAAUAAAAUUCAUUCCGGUUUUUGUCGAGAGCAAACCGACAGUUGGUGGGCAUGUUUUCCGCGUGAACCGAUAUCACAUAUCUGGAAAAAGAAAACAUCGGAAAAUUCACUGGUUAUAAUCCGAAUACGAACUGAUAAAAUGUAAUAAAUCUGAUGCAAUAUCUAUUCUAAUCACAAUUCUCCAUGGAUAGAUGACAGACGAUAUUUGGUUAGCAAACUAGGUACAACAUUCAACAGGACAAGCUUGAGGAAACUUCGACCGAACAUGAAAUGCUCAUAUCCUAUUAAGUCAAUAGGAUCUGCUUUUAUUCUGUUCAUAACCUCAUAUGCAAGUAAUCCUUAGCAGAUUUAAUAAAACACCAUUCUCAUAAAGAAAUGAUUCAAAAUCCUACAGCAGCGAGGUCAUGUGUGUUCGAUUUUCAAUAAUCGGAACAGAGUCAAACCCAAUUCCAACAAUCCUACACCAAGUCUUAAGACCAAACAGGCAAAAUGCAAAGCUUCAACAGUGUGAAAAAAACCAACAUCAGAUUCCAUAUGCAGAGACCAUAUCAGAAGAUGUUCACAAAUUAAGACACUGUUAUAUCAAAUGCAAGCAUUGAAAUAUGUAAACUUCAUAAAUGGAAAAACUAUAUCAACUGCUAGCAUUAUUACAUUGAACAUUAAACAACAACAAAUUGACUUCAACUACUAGAUCCUUAAAUUCAUCAAACAACCACCAAACCCUAAAAAUGCUGUAACAUGCAAAGUGUUCUUUUUCUUUAUUUAUUUAUCAUGUCUUUGUUUAAAAAAACUUACCCUAAAUAUUGAAUGAAUCUUCAAUUUUUCCCCAUCAUGACUUUGAAACAGGCUUUUGCAACAAAGCAGACAAAUAAACUUCACCAUGUUUCAAACCACUAGGAUCUGUCUUGUUAGCCACUGCCCAUUUCACUUUCUUGUAUCCAAGCUUACCAAUCAAUGGCCCAUAAAUUUUCUCAAGAUCCACUGCUUUGCUAAAGAAUCGAUCCACCCACAAGUACCCACCACCUCUCAACACUCUAUCCACAUCGUAGAACAUGAAUUCCAUCACCGACAAUGGUAUCCACCGGUUCACCGCUCUCCCACACCGGACCAGAUCCAUUGUGCCGUCGAAAACUGGGAACCUUUGUUGUAAAGGCACGUGUAAUGGCACUAACCCCCUUAAUGCCACGGCUUCAUUGUAAGGCGCAUUGACGUUCAUGGUGGUGGUCAACAUCGUGACGUUGUAGGAUUUCUUCAUUAAUGCAGCGAAAGUUCCGGUUCCACCGCCUAUGUCAAUACCGAGACGGAUCGGUGAGUUAGCCGAUUUGGCCAAUUGCAUGAACUGCGUCAAGGGAAGAUCGAGUUCCGAAGUGUAUUUUAGAAGGGAAGAGCGUUGAGCGUUGAGAUCGAACCCAGUGGGGUUGUUUUGAGACAAACAAGCGAAAGAUUUACACGAGUAUUUGUUCCAUAUAACGCCGGAAUCGGGGAGUGAAGUCGGGAAAGGAGUUAACGGAAGUGAAGAAGGCGGUUUCGAUGGGGUUCUAGAAAAACAACGCCGCCGUGGAAGUGGGUGACAGCCGUUAAGAAUAAGCGUCUCUUGGAUGUCAGGAUCGUAAGGGCAAGUCGAAAAAGGAGUGUAAUUCAUAUACCUAUGAAGAAGAUCAGGAUGGUUGUGACAAGAAGAAGCAAUGGGACCGAUCUGAGAGUGGAGGAUAAGAUCUCGAGGUACAGCAGAACUGGGUUCAGCAGUGGUGGAUGAAGGAGGGUUAUGGCGCGUGAGGUGGUUAAUGGUGGCGCGUAAGGUGUUAAGCUGUCGGAGAAGGUGGUCAGGGACGGGAACAGGGGGAGGAGGGUUGGGAGAUUGGACGGUGGAAGAGAGAUGGUAAAGGGAAAGGAUAUUGGUAGCUACCAUGACUAAGAGGAGAACGAAGUUCAAACCCAUGGUGAAACCCAUUGAAUUUCUGGUCCUUCCUCUACGGCUACGCUACUUUUUUCCCUUCUGAGAUGCUUCGAUUCUUGGGUUUUUGUUAUUCUCGAUCUUGGUGAUUCUUAACUUCACAGGUUUUUGUCUGAUACUUACUUAAUUUUUUUGGUGUUAUAAUUUUGGAGGUUUUAACUCGUUUCCAACUUCAAUCCUCACUUCUCAGUGUCACUGUCUCUCACAUGUUUUUAUUUAAUAAUUUGAUUAAUUUUAAAAUUAGAUUAAUAUAAUUCUGUACCUAUAUUUAAUUUUAAUGUUUAAUUUAUAUUUCAAUUUUUUUUAAAUUCACCUAUGGAGUUUUAAUUUGAUUGGUGUGAAUAUUAUUAUCAAUAUAAGAGGACAUAAGUUUAAAUAUGCUAAAAUUAUAAUCUCCUAUUUAUGGAUUGGGGAAGGAUAUUGACACUUUAAUAUUUAAAUUUUUUUUAAUUAAGCACCUAAAUUUAGUUUCACUAUUUAAUUUAAUAACAUAAUUAAAUAAAUAUCUGAAUUUAGUUUCAAUGUUUAAUUUAGUAAUUAAAUUUUUUUUUUAAAAUACACAUGUCAAAUAUUCAUUGGAUCAACAUAUUAUCAUUUGAUCCAAGUAUAAAAUGAAUAUUAAAAUUAAAUACAGAUACCAAAUAAUAUAUUAACUCAAUAUUUAAUCACUUCACUCACGAGUGACCUGAAAUUUUCUUACAAAUUUGGCCUUGAGUAUUGUCUGGGUUUUCAAUUAUAUUACGUAGUACUGUUUAAGUGGGGAAUUUUUAGAUUUGAUUUGGGAGAUUGGAUCUGAACCGUUAGUUAUAGUCAGGUGGGGUCAAUCAAUGCAGUUUAGGAUAGAAUGAAUCGAAAGCAAAAGGAUGCUUAUUACAAUUUGCAUAUAUCUCUGGCUCUAUGUUGCUAGUUUUUUAAAUAUGUUUUUAAAGCAAUCAUAUAAAUAUUAUUUUAAAAACUAUAAAAUCUGAAUAUAUAUAUUUAUAUUCGAUAUUAACUUAUAUAUUUAUAAAUAGUGACGGAGCAUAAUAGAGAUCAUAAAUAAUGACUUCCCCUAAAAUAAUAAAAUUUUAAUUUAUAUCAUUUAUAAUUUAUAAAAUUUUAAAUUAAUAAUGAUAAAAUUACAUUUUAUCUAAAAAUAAUAAAAAUUUAAUUUAUUAAAAAAAUAAAAUUAUAUUUUUAUUAUAAUAAAAAUAUAUAAUUUAAUUUCGAUUUUCUCAAAAAAAAAAAACUCCGCUGUUCAUGUAAAUGAGAUGGUGUAUUAUUCACGAUUGAUGAAUUUAUGAACGAAUAUUAUAAAAGAGGGGGAAAAAGAACCGGUGUCACGUGAUAUUAGGAUCUACUUGGAUUUAUUAAAGCAAUUUCUUGCAGAUUUGAAUUAUAUAUAUACUAUAAAAUAUUGUUGGGGAAGCUGUCGGCCUGUCAUCCUCUUCAACAUUUGAAAGGGACACUGAUACCUUUCCAUUUUAUUGAGGAAAUAUCUAAAUUCAAACCAAUCAAUUUCAAAGAAAUUUGAUUAGUCCUAAAAUGUUAUUCAACUAGUAAUUUUAAUUGAUAUAACCUAAAUUGAAUUAAAUUUAAAAUAAUUUAAACAAAAAAAAUUCGACUGAGUAACUCAAAAAGAUUUGCAUUCAAAUUGAUAAGAGAUUAUAAUGAUUCAACUUGAAAAAUCAAUCAUCAAGCCUUAAUAACUGGACCAAAAAAAUUAAAUGCGUAUACCUAGAUACAAGGUGAUGUAAUGGGUCGAAGCGAAGUUAGAUUAUUUGUCCAAAACAUUGGAUUUGAGUAAGACCCAAGUUGAGUCAAUCCGAGCCCAACCCAAUGAUCCUUUCUUUUUGGUUAAUAAUUUAAAUGGAAAAGAGAAGUGAUUUUAAGGUAAAAUCGAACAUAAAUCGCGUCCAGCUGAAGCUAAAAGCCUGCGGAAAUCUCUCUCCAGUGAAGAAGCCUUUGAACCUACAGUCUUUGGUGGAGGAGAUCCACUGACUCUCUAAUCAAUGGUAUUCUUUUCAAUUUUCCUUUUGAUUCGUACUAAGUUUCUCAGCAACCAAACAUCUAAUUAGGGUUUCAUUCCACUGUCUUUGUUUGAACCUUUCUUUUUCUUUUUUAUUUGUCCGUAAUUAUUAAUUCUCAACUGUUAUAUUUGUUUUUGGGAGUAAUAGUAGUUGAUGACUUUUAGUUUAAUAAGAAAAAAAGAGGAAUAAAUUUAGGUUUUUUUGGAGUAUAGAGUACACUGUGAUAGUGAAUUUUGUUUUUUUCUCUGGAACAGGGGAUUGUAAUAAAUUUCGUAAUUUUUGUAGGCUGAUCCUGAACUAGAAGCAAUUAGACAAAGAAGGAUGCAAGAGUUAAUGGCUCGACAGGGGGUGGUAAUCUAUUUCUUUUUCGUUUUAAUAUCUAGGAAUUCUAGAUUGGCCUGCUUGUGCUUUUAAUUUAAUGUUACUAAUUGUAGUUUGUUGAUAAACAGGGGAAUCAACAGAACCCUGAACAACAGAAAGCUCAGGAAGAUGCCAAGAGGUCAGUUUCUUAUAUAGAUGCAUAUUGUUUCUAAAUCAUUAAUAUUUUAAGAUUUAUUUUGGGAUCAAAUUAGUUCAUUGAUUUGACUAGUAAAAGCCAUUAACUUAGGGAGGCAGAUGAACGGAGGCAAAUGAUGCUUAGUCAGAUUUUGUCCAGUGAAGCACGCGAGAGACGUAAGCUCCUAUCUCAGUUCACCAUUUGAGUUGAUUCAAGAAGCCUACUGUUAAUUGCUUAUAUGCUUAUUAGUACGUGCAUUCUAUCAUUAAUUGCAGGCUAUUCUAAGUUGUUUUAUUUAACUAUUAGUUAUUAAUGUUGGAUUCUGUAUUUAUGGUAAUCAAUGGACUGUUAAAUCUUUGAAUUUAAUAUACUUGUCUUGUCAGAAAAUGUUUGUGCUUUCUAAGGGCUUAUUAGUAUUUAUUUAUAUUGUUAUAAAAAAGUAUUUAUUUAUAUUAGUUUGUGUAUAAGAUUUUGGAUCUUAAACCAGUUCACGAGUUAGCUUUCGUAUAAACUUUUUUGAAUACUUAUCGUUUAAAAAUAACAAAAAAAAUUUGAGUAGUGAACUCGUGCUUCAGGAAGCAUGGAGAAGUGUGCUUAUAAGUAUUUAUUUAUAUUAGAAAGAGUGAAGACCUAAUUCGAGUGCGAGUUCAAAAAAUUCUGGAAGACUUGAUUAGAAGUCCUAGAAUGAAAAAUGCUAUAAUAGGCCUGGUAGCAAUAUAUUGUUUCUCAAAGACUGAAUUUGAUCUGUUCUCUUUGAUGGUGAAGACUUAUCUUAGACUUGAAUUAUGUAGUGUGAGAUAUCUGAAUAUAAAGGUCUUUAAAAUCUGAGUUGAGUUAUAAAAUGGUAAGUAUGAAUCAUAUAGUAUGCAGUUUUUAGAAAACUCCUACCAAAUACAAACAGUGCAUAAAAUCGUUUGAAGAUACAUCCCUUAUGCCAUUGUAAAUCUUUCAUUCGUAUAUCCCCUAUACUAUUGCCUCCCCUAUACCUCUUUGAAAUUACAACGGAGCUAAAAACGAGAAGAAGACAUGAUCAUGAAGGAAAAAUAGUACAACUUCCUAAUGACAGGCAUAUAUGGCAGAUGCUCUUUUUGCUGUACUUUUUACCAACAUAUAAUUCCUUUCAUUUAAGUUCUUUGCUGUUAUAUAACUUUGUGCAGUUGCUCGAAUCGCCUUGGUGAAACCUGAGAAGGCUAGGGGUGUGGAGGAUGUUCUACUAAGAGCUGCUCAGACAGGCCAGAUAGUUGAGAAGGUAUGGUGAAAAUUUUCUGGUCCAACUACUUUUUCUUGCUUGCCUAAUAUUAAGGGUGUGCAAUUAUUUAGUAUUACUUUGCAGCCAAGCUUUGAUAAAGAACUGAAAUGUGUAUGGUUGAACCCUUGUAAAGGUUUCAGAGGAGAGGCUUAUAUCGCUGUUGGAACAGAUAAACACCCAAACAACUAAACAGACCAAAGUCACCGUAAGUUAUUUACACGUUACCGACUUGCCCUGUCUUUAACGUACUCAGCCCAUAGUUAGAAACUAUUUUGAUUUGCUUCCAUUAUUUAUCCGAUUUUACAGAUCCAGAGGCGUCGGAGUGUCCUCGAUGACGAUGAUUAGAUCAAACUUGAACUGUGAAAACCUCUGCCUGAUUUGUGGGGUAUAUUUAUAUAUUCAUGCAAUUAAUGGACCAGCUUUUAAUGGAUUCUUGAUAUAUUUUAAGACUUGUAUUUCCUCUGCAAUGCUGUUAUGGUAUAUUGAGCAAUAAAGCUGGCGGGUGCUGGCUUAGAGUUUUAAAGAGUAGUGUGAAAAUGCUCUGUAAGUUAAAAUAUUGUAGAGGUUUGCUAAGUGAUGCUUCAUAUGAAAACUUGUUUUCUUCUUCUUUCUCCUCUUUAAAACCGAGAACUCGAAAAGUUUUUGCAUAUGCACAUUUUACUUAAAAAAUAGACAAAUUAUCCCAUGUAAAUUAAAUAAACAAGCAAAUCGGUCAUUUCUAUUAAAAGUUUCAUCCAUGAAAAUUUAACAGAAUAGAUGAAAUUUUUCGCACGUUUUUAAAUUUGGGUAAAUUUUGGUAAGUCACUUGUUAAACUAUCGUCAAUUUUUUUUUAUUAAAAAGUUGAUUGGACCAAUAGAAUUUAAAUAUUCAUAUAUAUAUGUGAAUUGUAGUGGUUAAGGAUCAAAUUAAAAAGAACCCUCUUAAAAUAAUUUUAAAAAUCAAUUAAAUUUUUAAUUGAAAAUCACAUUCAAUUAGGGUGUUAAAUGAAAAAUUAACAAUUAAUUGAACUCUUAAAGAUAAUUUUUCCAUCGAAAUUUUUUAUGAUUUAUCAAGUGAUGACAUAAUUGAUGAUGUAGAGUGACAUUCGAUUAGAAAGUUUAAUUGAUUUUUAAAUUAUUUAUGAUGGCUUUUUAGUAUUCAAGCCACUCAAAAAUUUUGACAGACUUCAAAAUAAUUAUAAAAAAUCAAGCUAGGUAAGAACUUUUUUAAAAAUAUUAUAAAUAUUAUGAAAUUUCUAAUAAUAUUUUAAGAAAGCCAAAAAAAAUCUAAGAAAUUAUAAAUUUUUUUGAAACUUUUAAGAUUGAAAAUUCAACCAAUAAAUUUAAUUAGCACAUUUUAAACUUACAUUUACUGUACAAAAUAAAUUAGUCUUUCAACUACUGUAUAAAAAAUCCUAAUUUUCUUUAAAGAAUGCAACUAAAAUAAAAAUAAAAUAAAAAUAUUUUUAUAACAGUAAUAUUAAGGAUGCCUCUUUCUAUUGAUUUAUUUGAUUGUGAAUUUAAAGAAAUAAUUUAGGUUAGUUUAGUGCAUAAGCUAACAUAUAUACAACAUUUACAGAUAUACAAAUCAAUUAGGCAAAUAAAUUACUUGGGCAACAAUUUUUUAUUAAAUUUAUUUAUUUUAAUUUUUUUUAAAGUUUUCAUUUUCCAUUUUAAUUUUUAAAGUCUUUUAUUUUUCAUAUUAUUUAUUAUAGACUUUUCAAUUUUUUUUAAAAGAUUCCUUCUAAAAUUUUUAGAGUUUUUACCAUGCUUAUUUGUCGUAUUGUUAGGAAUUUUGAUUAAAAAGUUAAUUUUACAAGCUUAAUGGAUUGCUAUUUUCUUAUUAAGAUUACAAUGUGUGAGCUUAAUUAAUUUUUAAAUUAUUUUAUGAGAUUUUUUUAAAGAAUUUAGCUAAUAAUUAAUGGGGUUAUUAAUUUAAAUUUUUUAAUAAUACUACAAAAAAUUAAAUUUUGGGUUCUCUUUUACAUAUUAGGAUUAUUAAUGGAAAGGGUUAACACGUAGUUUGUCUCUUAAAUUUGUUUUAAAGUACUUGGUAUAGAGCAGUGGUUGAAGUUCUUGUUAGACAUAAGUUCAAAUUAUAUUAUCCCAUCCCCUACCUCAAAAUUUUAUUAAAAAAAAUACCUAGUUGAUAUCUUUUUUUUUUUUUUACUUAGUUGACAUUUGAAUUUGUAUUCCGUCACACAAGUUGUACAUCUACACUAAUGUUGUUAGUUUAUGCUGAUGUAACAUUGAUAAUCAAUCUAGUGAUGACAUGUGGUAUAACCUCUCAAGUAUGCCACGUGGAAAACAUAAAUAAAAAGUAAAAUAUUUAAAAAUAUAUAAACUAAUAAAAAACUACUUAAAAACACAUCAUGAAUAAAUCUAGCCAAAUGGGUGUCUAGAUUCAGAUAUAUCUAGAAAGUCAUUUAUCUAAAUUCAUUCUUGCUAUAAAAAGUGUACAUUUUUUAUUAAUUUAUAUAUUUUUUAAUUUUUUUAUUUAUAUUUAUCACGUGAUAUAUCGAAAAAUUAUUACGUGUCAUAUUAUAUCAAUAUAAACUAAUCAUAUUAGUACAACGAACAUAAAUUUAAAUACCAAUCGAGUGGAAGUGUAAUGUAGAAGCAAUGAUGUUGAAAACAUACCUAAUCCAUGUUGCCCAUUCCAUCGUACAGCUGACUCAUUGGUUUAAUUUGGAAUUGACUUUGACUUUUGUACGUCUUUUAACUUUUUAUCUCUCAAUGUCAACACAACAUGUCAUGUUUUGUCUACCUCAGCCUGCCCAAUAAAUGCCUAAGUUUUCCUUCCUCGUGUUAAAGUCAAUUGCAAACUCACAAACCCCUCCUACCACCUUCAUCCAUUUAUACUUUCCAAUUAAAUAUCGUGUUUUUUUUUCGAAUAAAAAUAAAUAUACCUCUUGUCUUUAACAUCACUUCUGCAUGGUUUUGGUUUAAUUUUAUGUUAGGAUUUUUGUUUUCAUAUAUGGAUGUAAUGUUUGAGUAUAAACAUUUUUUUUCUCUAAAAUUAACUUUUUUCCAUAAGUACAAGAGUGACCAACUUGUUAUAUUAUUGGUAAAAGGAAUCAAAAUCCAAAUUUUAUGUGACUUUUAUCUUUUAAUAUUUUAAUAAUAAAAAAAUAAAACAAAUCUAAUAUCUGUUGUUGUUUUUUUUUUUUUUUUUUCAUUUCAAGAAUUAAAGAUGUGGGAACUGGGAGGGUGAAAAAAAGAAAUAAAGAAAAGAAAGCCGCAUUCAUGUGUUUGUAGGUGUAGUAAUUUGACUUCAACAAUGUAUUUGCAACUUGCAUCCUCUACAACCAUUCACCAAAAAAAGAACAGAUAUUUUUCAUGCUUUUAGUUUUCUUUGAUCGCUGUCUUCCCCACUCAUUCAUAUAUUAUUACAUUAUGAUACAUGUAUAAUAUAAAUAAUAAAAAUUACGAAAUAAAUUUAUAAAAGGAAACAAUAUAAAAAUAAUCAUGAUGUCUUUAGUUUAAAUAAAAUUAUAUAUAAGGGUGGAUCCGGAAAUUGGCAAGGGCUUCGGCCUCUCUAAAAUAAAAAAAUUUCUAUUUAGACCCUUUAUAAUUUAUAAAAUUUUUAAUUAGUAAUGGUAAAUUUGUACUUUAUAUAAAUUGACGAGUAACACCAACUCAAUUGAAUAUAUAUAUACAAAAAUUCUAUUUUUUUUUCUCAUUCUCAAAUUAAGAACAAAUAAAUUAAGUUUUGUUUGCUGGACAAACAUUUAAUGAGAAAAAAAAAACUCUAAUCAGAACUGUUUAAUGGUUUGAGUGUCAUUAAAACUUAAUGCAAUUGCAUGCAGUAAUUAACAGAUAACAAAGAAACCUACAAAAACAUUUACAGAGCAGUCUUGAAAUCAUUUCUUCUUACAUUUGAUUGUGAAAGAUUUUACAUGGAGAAAGUGACACAUGUGUUCUUCUUAUAUAGACUACAAACCAUAUAUAUAUAGAGAGACAGAGGGGUUAGGGAAUUUGAAUUGAAUUCUUAAACUGAUAAAUGUAAACAAGUAAAAACAAAACCUUUGUUAUGGGUACUUGGAAUUAAAAUAGUUAGAAUAUUGUAUUUUAUUCAUUUAUCACUUUUAGUUUAGGUUUUCUCCACUUGAAGAUGGAUGACAUAAGAUAAAAGAUAAAUAUUGAUGGUGCAAUGUGUAUAAUGUCUGGGAAUGCUUCAGUUGGAGGAGUAAUCUAGGACAAGCAUUUCUAGGUUCUCUAAAUAUAUUAGUUGUUGUUUUGCGCUCAACGUCGAGUUUUGGGGAGCUUUGGAGAGGCUUCAAAUAGCUCGGAGUCUAGGCCUUCAACAGGCUGUGCUUGAGAUGGAUAGAAUGACAGUUGUCCAUUUGGUUCAAACAGUGUCAGGGAAGUUUCGCCAUUCAACUAUGUUACGCACUAUUAAAGAUCUCUUUCAGUGUUUUUGGGUAGUUCGAGUUACACAUGUCUUUAGAGAAGGUAGCCAAGUCGUUGAUGAUAUGGUAGCAAUGGUGUUUUCAAAACCUUAGGGCAGAUAUAUUUAUCUACAACCCCCGAAUGAAAUCUUUCAAAAGCUACAAGACAAUUGUGCUGAAGUGGUUUGGCCUCGAUUAAUUUAGUAUAAUCUUAUUUUUCGAUUAAUCUACAUGAAGUUGAACAAGAUUUUUGCUAAUUUCUUGCAAAUAAAAUUAUUAGGCUAUUUCUUUUCUUAUAAAUUGUUGGAUUGCUGAUUUUUAAAUAAAAAAUUUAAGUUGAAAUGCUCAACUAACAUAGUAAUACACCAACUAUUAUAUACAGAAGGUUUUUAUAUCAAUCUAUUACUUAAAAUACAUAAAAAUUGAGGAAUCAAUAAAAGUGGAAUAUUUGGAAUGAAGUGUUUAAAUUUGAGUCUCGUCCUGCAAAGAUUAUGUAUAAAUUAAUUAAUUAUCUUUAUUCAAUUCAAUAUUUAUGAUGAUUUAUUUUAAUUAAAACAAUUAAUUAUAAUUAAUUAGAUGAAAGACUUAAAUUAUACCAAAUAUUAUCCGCUGAACUUACCUCUAUCUUUCCAUGAAAACUGAUUUAACUUGAGUCACACUCUUUUAUCAUUAGAUGAACGACUUUAAUGGGUACAAUUAUGCUCCAAAUCUUGGAUUCUUUUGGCAGUAAUGUAUAAGUUGUUUGGUUGACAGAGUCAUAAAUUGAUAAAACUAAGCAUCGUUUUGCGUUCAUAACUAAGAUUAAGACUGUUGACCAAACUAUGCACUUCAUUUUAAAGGAAAAAAAAAAUCAUAAAUUAGCCCACCAAUAUAAAAAAAAAUCGAUUGAAUCUUAACUUGAUUGAUAAUGGUAUUAUUGUCAGUGUAAGAGAUUGUGAGUUUGAGUGUGUUAAAGCGUAUUAUCUUCUUAUUUAAGAGUUAAGAAGAAAUUAUAGUUAAUUUUAAACCUUAUAUAAUAAAAAUUUAUAUUAAAAUUAAUGUUUGAAAAAGUAAAACCCAUCAAAAUUAUGAAACUUUACAUUGAAGUGAAGUUAUUAUUUUCUCUCUAAAAGGGUGGGUGUGUGUGUGCACACAUCAUUAUAAUCAUCUCAAGAUGAAAAGAAAUUGAUGCAAUCUUUUUGUCAUCUACCAGGAGGGAAAAAAUUCAGUGGAUUAUUCAACCCUUUCUUUUUCCUUUUCAUUUUCUAGAAAAUAUAAAAGUAGCCUUUAGACCAUGUGUAUAUAUAUUAUUAUAUAUAUAUAUAUAUAUAUAGGGUAAUUGCAACAAAUAUUUUCAAAUUAUCAACCAAAAUUUAAAAUAUUUAUAUAAAAUAUUAAAAAUAUUAGUAUUGUAUUAACUGAAUCUUUUUGUAAGCCUAUUUGUCAAUAUAAGUGUUAAAAAUGCUAGUUUGGAUCUAAUGACUAUAUUUAUACGAUGUGGAUUAAAUUGUAAAACUUGUGCAUUUAUUUAUAACAUGGAUAGUUUUGAUUUGAUAUGUUGAAAAAAAUUCAUAUCAAAUAUAAAAAAAGAGUUGUUUUUUUUAACAUAUCAAAUCUAAGUUGUUCAGGGCAGAGCCAAGGGGGCUAACAGGAGGCCCGACCCCUAAAUUGAAAUUUUUUUUCAACACUUUCAUAAUUUAUAAAAUUUUAAAUUUAGUUAUGGUAAAAUUGCACUUUGCCCCUCAAAACUAAGAAAAAAAUGAUUUAAUCCUUUAAAAAUUAUAAAGAUAUAAAAUAUUAAAAUGAUGAUUUUACAUUUUUACUAUUAUAAAAAUAUACAACUUAAUUUUACCUCCUUCAAAAAUUAUAAAUACACACAUAUUUAUAAUUUAAUUCAUAUAUUUUAAAUAUACUUAACGUGAAAUUUGAAUUAACAUUUUAAAACUUAAUUAAAUUAAUUGUUAAAUUGAUAAAAUGAAGUAAUUAAUAUAAUUCUAACAUUUUAAAAAUUCAAUUAAAAUAUUUUAAAAUUGGAAAACCAAUUUAAAGUUUGAACACCAAAGCAAAUAUGUCAUGCCUUCCAUAAAGCCAACUUUUUUAUUACAAGAGCUUAACUUUUAUGAUGCAGGCCACAUGUGAACAGAACCCUAACUCAUAAAGUUUAGUUUAAAGUUUGUAAUAUCUUUUCCAUUAAUUAAAUAAUAUUAGAGCUUUUAUUUAUAUUAGAGAAUGAAAGCAAACCCUAUCUUUUAGUUGGAGUUAGUGAAGUAAAACUGGACAAUAUUCAGCAGUAAUCUUGACUGUAUGACCUGGACCUUGAAUUUGUAUUAAUUUACAAUUAAAUUAUUCAGCUGUAUAUAUAUUAUAAAUGAAGUAUGGUUCACAAGCAAUUGCCAAGUCAACUUUAAGAAAUUAAGUAAUGAAAGUUGAUGACUUUUCUAAUAAAUAGUGAUACAAUAUUAUAAUAAUAUUUGUUUUUUUUUAUUAAAAAAAUAUUUUUUUAAUAAUUUUAUUAUAGAUUAUGAUCAUAUUUGUUCUUUUUGACACAUAGUUUAGAAUUAUUCAUAGUCUCUUUCUAACUCAUAAAUAAGAUGGUGAUGUGCUUCAGUAUAUUCGAACUUACGUUCUUUUGUAUUGACAAUAAUAUUCAUAUUAAUCGAACUAAGACUGAAUCGACUUAUUGAAAAGAUAAUUAAAAGAAAGGGUGAAUUGUUUUAGAUAAAUUGGGCACUUUAGCCUAAGUAGUUUAGAAUCAGUCAAAAAUAUUUUUGAUUUCUUGAAAGAAUAAAGCAAUGGGUAAGAGGUUUCACAUUAGAAUUAGAAAAGCUUUGAAGUAAAUUAAGCUUUGGGAUGCUUUAGUGGGUUGGUCAGGCUCUUGUAAUUUUUAUUUGUUUAUUAAAAAAUAAAAAUAAUUUUAAAAGAUAAAAGUUUUUAAAAAAAUAAAAGAAUAAAAUUUUGAUCCCUUUGGAACUUAGUGGAGAGUAGAUGGAUAGUUGUAAUUGGUACAGGUUGACUUUUUGUUUUUUAUUUUUUCUGAUUUUUUUUAUGGCUAAUUAGGAGAAGUGUUUUGAGUGAGCUUAAGUUCAUUAAUUUUGGUUUAACAUAAAAUACACCAUGACUAACAACUCCUAUUAAUAUUAAUAUAUAUAUAUACAUAUAUAAAAAGUUUAUUUUUUUGGGAUAAAGUAAUAUUUAGUUUAUGAAUUUGAUUUUUUUUUAAGUUUUGAUUUUUUUUAUUUAUAUUAGUCUUAGAAAUUUGAUAGAUAUUUUCAAUUUGAUCCCUAAAUUUAGAUUUUGUUAAUAUACUAUGAUGUGGCAUUUUGAAAUUGUGCCAUAUCAUUACCUCAAAAUUUUUAAAAAAUAUUAUUGCUUUAUAAUAUUUUUAAUAUUUUUUUAUAGUUUAGAAUUUAUAUAAAAUUUUUAGGUGAUGAUAUGUCACAAUUUUAGAGUACCACAUUAUCAUACUUUUAACAGAACCCAAGUUUAGGGAUCAAUUUGAGAAAAAAUUAUCAAAUACCGAGACUAAUAUGGACAAAAAUUUCAAGGGCUAAAUUUAAAUUUUUUCCAAAUUUAAAAACUAAUUGUUAGUUUAUCCUUAUUUUUUUAUUAAAUUCACCAAAUUCUUACAUAAAAUGGUGAAAGUACCAUAGAAGCCUCCAUACUAAGAGUAAGAUUGAAUUUUGCCCGUUUUACUUUAAAAAAUGGAUAAAUUAUCCCUUAUACAUUAAAUCAAAAAACAAACUGAUCAUUUCUAUUAAAAAAUUCAUCCAUUUUUAUUGUUAAAAAUUAGCGUGGCUGACAAAAUAACCAAACAAUUUUACGUGGCAUGCUAUAUGUACCUCAUGAUAAUAUACAGGAACUAAUUUUUAACAAUUAAAAUGGAUUAAAUUUUUAACAGAAUGACCAAUUUACAUUUUAGUUAACAUUCAAAUAUCAAUUUAUCUAUUUUUUAAAUAAAAAAACAAAAUACAGUCCGUUUCCUAAUAAAAAAACUUUUGUAGUAUAUUUACCUAUAUAAAAUAUAUAACAUAAUAUUUUAUUAUAGUUAUAUUUUAAGAAGUCUAUCAUUAAUACAUAGAUUCAUCAUAGAUCCAAUUAUUGUUUGGAAUUCAAUGACCUCAUGUUCUCUCUUCAAAUCGCAUCUCAUUCCUUCCUACACUUAUCUAUCUAUAUACUCAAGUUCGCAAUUUAAGAUAUAUUUAAAUAAUUUGAUUGACAUCAAUAUUGUUGUCAGUAUAGGAGGUCGUGAGUUUGAGUGCGUUGAAGUGGAUUAUCUUCCUAUUUAAGAGUUGGGGAGGGGUUGUGGGUAAUUCUAGGCAUUGUAUAAAAUGAACAAAUAUGAUAAGAAUCUAUAAUAUGUAUAUAUGCCAAUUGAGUCUUAGUUUGAUUGACAUUGACAUUGUUGCUAGUGUCAGAGGAUGUGGGUUCGAGUGCGUUGAAGCACAUUAUUCUCCCAUUUAAGGGUUGGGGAGGGGCUAUGGAUAGUUUUAGGCAUUGUAUAAAAAAAGAGUAGAUAUGUUGGGGAUAAACCCAAAUUCAACAACAAACAAGAAUGAGAGUUAUUAGAGUAUAAGAGUAUAAGAUGGAGAAAAAAUCUAAAAAUAACCCUCAAAUCUAGAAAAAUACAAAGCUCUCUGGCUAAAACACAAAAUUACCUUAAACUCUUUUCUUGUUGUGUUGUUAAAUCUUAAUCUCUAGGUUUGCUGGUUUGCUAAGAAAUUCGUGAGCUAAUAUUAUUAAAAUAUCUCUAGAGUUAUUAGAGUUCGAUUGAAAAAAAAAAUCAGAGUUUAACUAAGAGAAAAAAUAUCAGAGUUUGAUUGGAACACAUCGCCACAUCGUGACGUUAUUUAUCUACUCAACGGGACGUCACAUGUCGCGUCAUUAGGACGUCGGUUUUUUCUCGUAGAAACAUCGUGUGUCGUGUCAUGUCGUCGACACAUUGACUCUUCCAUGUCAUGAUGUUAACUCUGUUUCAUCCAAAAUAUGAGACACACUCCACAAGAUAUAAUAAUAACUUAUAUUGAGAUUAAUGUUUAAAGAAAAAAUAUAUUUAUAUAUAUAAUAAAAUUAUUAAUUAUGAAACAUCAAAGUUAGCAAGCUGCGUUUUUACCAUUAAAUAAAACCAUCAUCAAUGCCUAAAUAUAUAUAAACUUUAUAAAAAUACUUGUGCUAAUAGUUAAUAUCAACUUAUACUCCCUACUCCCAUUAAACCUUUGAAUUUUUUUUUUAAAGUCUAUUCAUAGAAAAAUCAAAUCUAAUUAAUUCUUUAAACGUUAAAAUUGUAUCAAAAGAAUUAUUAAACUAAUGAUUUUUAUUGUUGAUCUUAACAUAAUUGUUAAAAACAGUGUUGUUUAAAUUGAACUAGAUUGAUCGAUUGGACCAAGUGGACUAAAAAUCAAUCAAGAUAUCGAUCCAAAGAGAGGUGUAAAAUUAAUUGAUUUAUAAACUAAUAUGAAAAUAUUAAACUGGUAAUUGAAGUGCCUGACAGAUGAACAUGCUAUUAGAAGACUAUUCCACAAAUUACAAAUAUAUGUAAUGUAGCGAUAAAUGCACAUUUAUCCUAUGAAUGUCGACCAACAAACUCACAAAUAAAAUAAGAAAAAGAAAAGAUUUGACUGAAAUUGAAUUAAUUAAUUAAACCAAAACAACCUAUUAGAAGACAACUAUCCACAAAUUACGGCAUGGCAUUUACAUUUUACAUGCUACAAAUAAUGUUCUAACCUACCUUUUCAAACCUUUUUUUAAUUUUAACUAGUAUAAUUUCCCCACCUUCUCCCGGGGAAUUCCUUUUUAUAAUUUUUUUUCUUAAUAAUUAAUAUCAAUAAUUAAAUAUUAAUAAUCACUUAUACUAAAUAAAUUAAAUUGAAAACUAUAUUUUUCUAUAUAAAUAUCAAACUUUUUAUUAAAUCAAUACAAGAGAUUGUAUAAAACUGUGAUUCCACGUCAUCCAUACACCUUUUCAAGAGGAGAAAAACAAAUAAGAUUUUUCCUCUUGAUUAUUAGCUUUUUUCUCCUAAAAAAAUUCAAAUCAAACUAAAAAUGCUAAAAAUCAGGAGAAAAAAUCUAAUUUGUUAUUCUCUUAUUAGAAAGAGAUAAGGAUGACGUGGAAUCACAGUUUCAUACAAUUCUUUCUCUGAAAUCAAAGGACAAAUGAUUGUAUUGAGAAUAGAUUGUUUUAGAUCCAAUUAUGCUUAUGGUAUUUCGACUAUGUUUUAAAUUUAGAAAUAUCUAUUCUUUAGUUUGAUAUAUUUUGGUUCAUCUACAUAAUAUCAUUAGUUUGUCAAAAUAGUUGAUAUCAUUAAUUAUUCUAAUCCAAUUGUUGAGGUCAAUUUUUUUCUUUUAAAAAAUACCCAUUCCAACUUCAUCCAUAUAUAUAUAUAUAUAGUGUUAGAAAGUUGCUUUUAAGAGAAAUUCAAGAAAUCAUUUUAAUCUAUAAAGUUAACCAUUGGACUAACUGAUGUCAUUAUAAAAGUAGAUGAACAAAUUAUGUCAAAUUAAAAUAUAAAAACUAAAUCCCAAAUGUGAGUACAACAGAGAGAUCGAAACUGCAAUUCUACCAUUAUCUUAUAACUUUGAAAAAAAAAGUGAUGCCAUUAGUUAGUCCAAGUAAUUAGCACCCUCAAUAUUUUUGAUAGAUGACGUAAUUAUUUUUUAAUAAAGUAUUUAUUUCAACUCAUUACACCGCCAAAAUAUUUUUUUGAUAAAAUAAUUUUUUUUAAAAAAUUAAUAAGAAUAACUAAAAAGGUUAACUAUUUAAAUUAACUAACGUGGUUGUAGAAAUAGAAAAUUAAAUUAUGUGAAAGUAAAAUGUAAAAAUUAAAUAUGAAAUGUAAGCAUAGGGGAUGAAAACUGAAAUUUUACUAUUUUAAUUAUAAUGAAAAAAAAAGAAGGUAAAGGUAGAAAUCUCAAAUUAAAUUUUAAAGACUAAAUGUAUAGAAUUUAAUUGUAAUUAAUUAGCUUUUGCUUAGGAAUAAAACAAAGCUUUGGCAUUCAAUUUCAUUUUGAAUCUUUCACGUGGUUGACUAAAAUCGUAAACUCGAACUUACUUUCAAUUUUAUAAUAUAUAUUUUGUUAAUUACAACAUUUUUUCUAUUUUUAAACUAUUAGAGAAUAAAUUUUAAUAAACUAUUUAAUUGAUAUUAGUUUGAUCUCCGAUUGGGGUUUAAUGCAGUUUAAAUUACAAUUAUAGAGAAAAUAAAUUUUAUUUCAAUUUAACUAUGUAAAUUUUUAAUAUUUUAGUGUUUUAAUUUCUUUUAAAAAAAUUAAAUUAAAUUUAUUUAUUUUUAUUCUUCUUAUCUGUUUUAUGGUCUAUGUUUAGAGUUCGUAACUGCUCUUCCUCUCAACAAUAUUGUCUUUAAGGAUCGAACUUGUAUUUUCUCAUUGAGCAUUUUAAUAUAUAUAAUGUUUUUCGAUUGUUUAAAUUAAAUCAAUUUCAGAUAAGGUCAAUUUUGAGUUUUAAAGUUUCUUGGUCAUUUUGAAUAAAAUCAAUUUCAAAGGUCCCUUCAGGUUCAAGGGUUCAAGUUUGAGACUCUAUUUUUUAGAGUCGAACCAUUACCUAUUCAGGUUCGCUCAUUUUAGGUUACUUAUUUAAGUCAUUUCAAGUCUAGGUCAAAUUUUAUUUGAGUCAUUUCAAAUUCAGAUCAAUUUAAUUUUGAAUAUGAUGAGUUCGAGUUAUUUCAAAUUUGAAUAAACUUUCAUUCAAACCAUUUCAAUUUUGAAUUGAAUUAGUUCGAGUUAUUAACUUUCCAUAAUCAAAUCAAGUUAAAAUUGUAUAUAAAUUCACAUUGAUCGAGCCAAAAUUUUAAGUACAGAUUGAUAUUGAGUUUUCAAGUUUGAGUUCAGUUGAGUAAAAGUUCUCUAAAAAUCCUUAUACCAAAAAUCAGACUAUAUUUUGUCAUCUCUACUAAAAAAAUGACAAAUUAAUUAUUCUACAAUAGAUAAAAAAGUAAACUGGUUAUUUUAUUAAAAUUUCAUCAAUUUUACUGUUAAAAAUUGAUUCUAUAUAUCAUAAUGAGUUAUACAAUUAUUACAUCAAUUUUUAACAUUAAAAAUAGAUAAAAAUUUUAAUUAAAAUUAUCGAUUUAGUCUUUAAUCUAUCUUAUAAAACUCAUUUAUUUAUUUUUUAAAUAAAAAAUAUAAUUUAAUUUUUAAUACACAAACUUCAAUAAUACUUUUACUUACGUACAUUGUUUGUAGAAUAUUUGUUAGGAGAACAAAGGCCUAAAACGGAAAGCAAAGGGGAAAAAAGAGGGAAAAGGUCGGUGACGUGGGGAAGGCAUCAGCAGCAGCAAAGGGUCACUCCCACGUGCCGCGUGGAGUGUGUCGGCUACGGUCAAAUGCCGGUACCAAUAAUGCCACAUGUAUGCCUAAUAUUCCAAAACACUAUUAAUUGUUCUUCCAGUUUGAAUGUUUGACUACCUUUUUGUUUUUUUGGUCUUAUCUCACGGCCUCUUUCAUCUGCUUCAUCCUCCUCCGAUAUUACUUGUUUCUGCUUCCACACGCUCCCUUCUAGCGCGUUUGUCCCCUUUAAUAUUGUCAUUAACAAGAGUUUAUUUUUUCAACUAAAAUUAUUUUUUACACAAAAAUCCAAACUACAUUGUGUUAAGUACAUCUAAACAAAAUUACAAACAUAAUCAAAUAAAAUAUAAAUAUUUUAAUUAACUUUAAUUUAAUUUUUUUAAAAAUAUCCACUAGUUUUAUAAAUUAUUGUAGUUUUUUUCUUUUAAUUAAUUUUCUUUACGGACUAUAUAUAAAUAUGUGUCAAUUUUUGGUCGUACAUAACAGUAGUACGAAUUAUAUCUAAUAUAUUUUUAAAAAAUAUUUUUUUUUCUUAAUAUAAAUGUAAAGAGAGACAAAAAGUAAAAAAUUGUUAUUAUAUUGGGUAGUAAAUGUUUCCAUACUAGAAGCCACUUUUUGCUCUUCCAAUUGGAAGGGUUUUUUUUUUUUUUUGUCAACCCUCCUUUAUAAAGUGACUAUGAAGCCAAAGUACCAUUCAAAGCUAAACACUCUUCCUAUAUAUCAUUUAUAUAUACACAUAUUUCUGUAUAUAUAGCUCAAAGAACAUGAAAUCAGAUAUGUAAUGAAACCCUGAAAGUAUUACAAAAACCAAACACUUUGAGGCCCUUUGUUUUUCACUUUCCUUUGUUCCUAAAAUUGUUGUUUCACCAUGUCGGAACAUGAAUUUAGAGAGUUUUAUUACCAUGCAAGUACGAUGUUCCACAACGAUCAUGUUGACGACAUGUUUAGGGUUUCGUCAUCAGCGUCGGUUGAUCAUCAUCCUUCUUCGUAUAUGAGCUUCACGGAUUGUUUACACAGUUCGGUUGACGAGUACGGUUCACUCGAAAAAGCCUUCGGUUUGUCGCCGUCAUCUUCGGAAGUGUUUUCUUCUCCAAUCGAAGGCUUGAAUCAGACAACAAAUCAACAAAGUAGUGAAGUUAUGGCCAUUACCCCUAAUUCUUCUAUUUCUUCUUCCUCAAGUGAGGCUGCUUAUUGUGAAGAAGAUUCAGAGAAAAAUAACAAAGAUAAGCAGCCAAAAGGGUCUGAUGAUGGAAGCAAAGAAAGCCCUAAGAAAGGGUAACUAACUAACCCUUUCUCCAUUUAUUUUUAGAAUUUACAGACAGCAUCAAUGGAGUUUAACUGAUGUUGUGUUUAUUUGUUGUGUCUGAAAGGAUGAAAGGGGCUAAAAAGAAAGACGAAAGAAAGCAAAAAGAACCACGAUUUGCUUUCGUGACAAAAAGUGAAGUUGAUCAUCUAGAAGAUGGGUAUAGAUGGAGAAAAUAUGGACAAAAAGCUGUGAAGAACAGUCCAUAUCCAAGGUUUGGUUUCUUUCUCUUUCUUUAAUUUCACAACCAAAAACAAACAUUGAAACAAAUCUUAGCAAAUCACGUCUGAAAGUGAAACCUGUUUGAAGUCUUUGGUCUGUAAUUGCAUUAUCUUUUCGCCCCCUUCUUUGACUAUAUGCCAAGAUGCAGUCAACAUAUAUGAAACUUUAGCUGUAAGUCAUUAGUAACUUGAUGGAUUUGAAUUAUUGAAUUAAUUCCCUGUAUAUGUGACUUGCAGGAGCUACUAUCGGUGCACUACACAGAAGUGUACAGUCAAGAAAAGGGUUGAGAGAUCAUUCCAGGAUCCAUCAACGGUGAUCACAACAUAUGAGGGUCAACACAACCACCCACUCCCCACAACACUGAGAGGAAACGCAGCAGCACUGUUCCCGCCUUCCAUGUUUGCGCCGGCGACGCCGCGGCCGAGCUUCCCGCAUGAAUUGUUUAUGCAGAUGGCGGCGCCUCAUCAAAUGAAUAACCAGCAAGCUAAUGGUGUAGCAGCAGCUUCGAUGUUUGGAGAAAACUUUAGUCCUUAUCAUCACCAGUACCACCACCACCACCGUCAGGUUUCUGACUAUGGGCUACUCCAAGACAUGGUUCCUACCAGGUUCCUUAAACAUGAACCAUGAAUAUCCCAUUCUUUCCGCUUCUUUUUUUACUCCUUGUGAGUGUACAUAUUUAUAUAUAUUUAACUGCUUUUAUCGUUAUCGUUUUCAUCUAACUUAUCUAGAGCCCAAGAAUUAUUCCUCAGUUAUUGGUUUUGAAAAGGGCUAACAUCGAGGACUAGAUAUGGGAGUGGGAUUAAAGUUCUUCCUUUGUACUUGAAACUGGUGGUUCCAUGUGUUCAGUGGAAAUGUUCGUAUGCUUCUAUGAUAGGAAAAGAGGAUCGAAGACUUGUAAUAUUAAUGGAUCAUAUUAGUUACAUUUAUGUUUGUUUAUUCAUAUCAUCAUCCUUGAUGUUAUCAUUAAUGAAGAAUGGGGGAAUAGUUUCCUUUAGUUUUUUUGACAAAUUUUGUACAACAAUGAUAUUAAUGUUUUAAAUAAUAUUCUUUUAAAACAAUUAUUAGCUACUUAAAAAUCAAUAGUAGAAUAUAUCAAAUAUAUUCUAUAAUCAUCACAAUAAAUUUUGGGUAGUAUCUAGUUUUAGUGACAUAAAGGAGGAGGAGGAUACAAAGGUUGAUAAACAUUAAGGAAAAGUAAAGCGUAGCUACUGCAGCAAAGGAAAUUCGUAGCCUGUAAUAUGAACAACGUGAAAUGGUGAAUGGAGAAUCAAAUAACACGUUUAAAACGAAGAUUAGGAUUAACAAAGUUUUUACGUGGAUGGGUUAGAAUUAUAAUACCAGAGCCACUAAAGUAGCAGUCAGGGUCGACAUGACGAUCAUAGAUUUGGUAGUACGAAUUCAUGACUGUUGAUCUUCUCUCCUGUACUCAUUAUUUGGUAGCAAUCCGUCCAUAUUUAUGAGGCAUGGUUUUUGAUGUAAAGUGAUAAGGGGUAACUAAGUGCCAUGCAUAACGAUACAUUACUCCCUUAAACUCCCUUAAACUCGACACGUAUUCUUAAAGUUAUCAUUACUGAAAUCCCCUGAACUAACAAAGUGGACAGCUAACAUUAUGGAUUUCAGGUUUUUGAAGUAUUAUAUAACAAUUUGUCCUCUACUUUAUUAAAAAAAGAAAAAAAAGAGAGUUAUAAUGUGACUUUUUGGAGAUAGAUUUAUAUACCUUAAUAGUGUAAUUGAGGGCUUUCAAUAAGGCAAGCUGCACAGCAAAAAUUUAACGACCUGAACCGCAAAAAUACUUCACAAACCCGAAAUCUGGAAUGCUAGCUCGCCACACGCUAGCUCACCACCUCUAGCUCACCACCUCUGCUAGCUCGGGGGAUCGCAACAGGAAUAACCCUAAAGAUACAUAUCGAACUUAAGGGGGUAAAGUGUUGCUAUGCAUGACAUCUAAUUGUCGCCUAACACGUCAAAUCAGGAAAUCGGGCCUUAUAAAUGUGGAAGGAUUGCACCAAAGGAAGGGACAGGCGAGAGCAUAAUGGUUGAUGAGAGUAUCAUGCUCCAUAUAAUGGUUGCAGUUGAAUCCCAAGGUUCUAACGCGAUCACAGGCAUAGUUAAUGGUGGAGGCCAGUAAUAUAGUAGGGGGAGCCUCACAUCUCAUCUAUAUAAACUUCCACUUAUAUCACUAAGAAUACUCCAAGACCCUAUUUUAUACACCGAUACUAUUCCAAACCUUCUUUUUCUCUUCUAAACUUCCUCAUUUUUCCAGAAACACAUCAUGUAAGCCGUUUCCAUUUUUCAACCUCACAUGUUGGUAAACUUUCUUUUUCUUUUUCUAUCUAUUUGAUACAAGUAAUCUUAAACAUGAUUGUGAUAAAUUUUGAUACAUUUUAAUACAUUUUGAGAUAAUUUUGAUGAUAUUUACUAGUUUUGAUAACUUUUAAAAUAUUUGUUAAUGUUGUUUGUAAUAAGUUUCACGUAGUAUAUAUAAUUUUUGUAUUUUUUUUAAAUUACAAUUUAUAAUUAAAUGAUGAAUUAAUGUAAGUAUUUAACAGAAUAAUUAAUUCAACUUAAAAUAAUUAAAUUGCUCAUACAUAAUUUACUUAGGUGGGACUUGAACAUAUGUGCUUAAAGUUUCAAGACCUCGAAUCUUAGCAUUAGCUUUAAUGGUUAAAAGUGUUCACCCCAUUCUCUAAACGCAAAACAAAUCUAUGAGCAUAACUUGUGCGAUAAUUUAAUAAUAUGCGCGUGAAAAUGUGAAUUAUACUCUUUUUUUAUCAUCUCGAUCAAAACUUUCAUUGAUAAUUUUAUCUCUUAAACGAAAAUUUUGACAAUUUUUCUUAAUAAAUUUGAAUAAUAUUGUACACUAUUUUAAUAAUUUUGUAUAUAAUUUGACAACAUUGUUGCAUCAAAACACCAAAUAAAACAUGUUUCAGUUUUUUAUGAUUUAAAUAAUUUUUUUUCUCAAUCCACAAACAAGCACUAUAAAGCAAAAAUUAGUAAAAAUUAUAUUUUAUUCUAUCAUAUAAAUAUCAUAUAUGAUAAAAACAUAACUGUAUUCAUCAUAUAUAAGCACACAAAGCACCUACUACAGAAAUCAAUCUCCUAAAUGUAAAUAAAAUGUUGACACAUUUAUUACACGCUAAACCCAAAAACCUUCACACAUGUAGAACAUCUAUUCCAUUUCAGACCCUUCAUGGAUACUGGCAGUUUCCAUAGCCUGUAAAAGGAAAAAAAAAAUACAAUUACAAACAAUGUCAAAUGAUAAAUGGAGUAUCAAAAUAAAAUUAGGUUCAAGAAAAGUUUUACUUGGAUCGGAUAUAGUGAUGAGACCAGAACCCUGGAAGUUACAGUUAUGUUCUUGACGACCAUUGGCCUGGUAAUAAGAAUUCAUGACAGACGAUGCAUGGUUGAUAUAAGUGUUGGGAUCAUAGCAUUCUCCACCUGGUUGUAUCUGGCUGCAAUUGAAUCCAAGGAUUCCAAGUUGUUCACAGGCAUAGUUUAUGUUGGAAACCAGUGCUUUAUCAUCAGUGGAAGGCUUUGCAACACACCAUUUUUUGACCUGUUACAUAACAAUUUCAUUACAAAAACUUGUGUAUUUUUCUAAUGAAAAAAGAAUUGACUAAUUUACCUGUCCAUUGGCCAACUUCAGCAAGAUCCCUGCAUGAAAAUGGUUGUUAAUUAUGAUUAAUGGGGAAGCCAUUAGAAACAGUGAGAAAAUGGGGAAAAAGAUACAUACCAGAGUUAAAUGACAAAAGGAGGAGAAAAUAGAGAAGGGGAAGUGAGACAGGUGAUUUAACCAUUGCUGUUUGUGUUGGAAGUAAAAAUUGAUUAAAAAGAUAACUUGGACAAAAAGAAACGAAGAUGAAUGUCCAAAUAUAUAACGGUGGAUAAUGCUAAUUCCAGAUAAUUUGCUGCUUCCACGAUAUGAAAGACUAAAACAUUCCUAGCACUAGCAAAGGUUUGUAAAUGUCUUAAAUGGGACAGUUUAACAGAGAAGUUGUAAGGCCAAAAGAUGAAACAGCAUAGGGUUUUUUAGUAAAUGACUUUGUGAAUUUGUCAUAAAAAGGUUGUUUUUAAGUAAUGAUUAUUGAAAAUGCAAGUUUCAAACCCCAAAAUUAAUGAUAUAUUAAUCAUAAAAUGUAGGUUUCAAACCCCAAAAUUAAUUUCAGAGUUAUGAUACAUUAAUCAUCUAUAAUCCAGAAACAUAAAAACCGAGGAGCUGAACAGGUUUAGGACAUGGUGAAAUGAUAAGGGAGUAAAAUGUCUGAAUCAAAUAUUGUCUCUGCUGCCAUAUUCCAUCUAAUUGAACAUGUUAAAUAUUUAGAAGAAAAUCAGAAUUAAGUAAAAUUUUUGGAUUAGUGUUUUAAUACUAAAGACUAGAUUAAUUUUUUGGAGGAACAAAAACUGUGACAUGUUAAUGUUUUUCACUUAUACCAGGUUGUCUUUAAAUCAACAAUAUGAUCAUGGUUAAGUUGAAAUAUUCAAGUUUUGGAAACUCUUUUUAGGAGAAGCUAUUUUUGUUUGAUUAUGCUAUAACUGCCAGACAGGACUUAAUUUGUUUGUUUUUCUAUUUUUCUAUUAAUGGUUAAGGAAAAGGUCUUUUUGGUCAUAUUUUGUAUAUUUUCCAUUUAAUUUCUUGCUUGAUGAUUAAGGAAGUACAAGAACGGCGUUAUAAUGCAUGAGGACGUCUGUUGGUAAGCGUCGGGUGAGAUUAAAUUUAUAUAUAUAUAUACAUAUUAACGUAUUUUAUAUAUUUGUUUCAACAAAAUAAGAAUUUUAUUUAUGUUUAUCAAUAUUUGUAAAUGAAAUUCAUUUUAAAUUUACUCAUAUUUUUUAAAAAUAAAUUAUAUUAUUUUUAAUUUUAUAUUUAAUUAUUUUAUAUUUUUUAUUGAAAUUUUAAAUUAAGAUAACUUAAUAUAUUUUUAAUGUUUAUAUUAUAAAAAUUAUAACAUUAUAUACAUAAUUUGUAAAAAUAAAACAAAUAUAUUUCAAAAGUACAUACUAAUUCGGGUUUAGGCUGAAUCUUGUCACAAACUUGACCCAUAUCUUAAACGUGCAUAAUUUUUAAUCCAAUUCCAUUUAUGAGAUCACUUAUUUUUGUCCAAACCUCUUAUAUUUCUAGUAGACUUUCAGACUUGAAUGAAUAGUUUAGCCCUUGAAUAAGAUGCACGGUGGUAUCUUAUAUAAACAUUAUAGAUUUCUUCAAUAAUUUAAUUAAAUUGGUACUCGUGAAAGCAAAAACAAGAAUGUAAAUAUACGAGAAAUAUAAUGAUGCGAGGGACACCCAAAUCCUACUCGUCACAUAUAAAUAAUGAAAAUAUGAAUUAAGGAUUUACAAAAUGGUACACGUUAAUAAAUAGGAAUUACAAUAUAACGAGACAAGAUAAAAGAUUGUUUGGUCCAACUUUGUUUCAUUUCUUGCAUAUAUAUAAUAUAAAUAUAUAAUAUAUUAAUGUGUAUGAUUUUAGAAUAUAUAAUUUAUAUAUAGAUAAAAAAAACAGUUAUUUUGAAAUUCCAUUAAAGCCCAAAAAAACCCUAUACAACUAUCCAUCUCCACUGUACACAAUAAGAAAGUUUAAAGUGAGGGAUAACAUCCCAGUUGAGAUAAAAGCAGAUGGGAUACAUUGAUAUAGACAGGUUCUGUUGAGAUAUACACCUUGCAACUAUACCAUUACAAGUAAAUUUUAACAUUGCUUCAAGUAUACCAUAUUCCAUCUUCUUUAUUGAAGCAAGCUGUUCUGAACAAGACAUCAACUAUUAUUGGUGGCAUAAAAUACCACCGACCACCAACAAAACUAUGUCCUGCCUUGUAUUUCCACUUGAAAACUUCAUGUUUCUUUCUUCACCAAUAAAUGAAGCUCAAUGCUUCCUGCUCUAAAAAUAGAGGGAUUUUGUCGAUUGAGUCUCAGUUUAAUUAACAUGAGCAUUGUUAUCAAUGUAGGAGGACAUGAGUUUGAGUGAUUUGAAGCGCGUUAUCUUCUUAUUUAUGGGUUAGAGAGGAGCUAUCGGUAGUUCUAGAUAUUGUGUAAAAAAUAACAGAUAUGAUCAGAACCUAUAAUGAGAUUAUUCAAAAAAUAAUAAUAGAAAGAUUUCAUAAACUUGGUUGAGUUGGAUGUAUGGUUAUUUUGAUUUGAAAAUUUUGAUUAAGGCUAUAUAUAUUUGUAAAUGAUUAAUCCUAAGUUUAUUUAGGGUUUCUCAUAUUUUUAUUUUUAUUCUUUUAAAAUAUAAUUAUUUUUAAUUAAUAUAUAGUAAUUAUUUACUUUUUACUACCAUUAUAUAUAUUGUAUUUUAUUAAAAUUUUUAACAUAAAUUACUUAACAUAUUUUUAAAUAUUUUUAUUUAAUCUCAUAUGAUAUAAAUUCCGUAAUAUAUAAAGGAAAAACAUAUUCUAAAUUUGAAAAUGGGUAGCUUGGGUUUUGAAUAUUGAAACCCGAUCCCGGCUCGUAUUAUAAACAAACCUAAUUUUUUUACACAAACUCUCUCAAAAUUUCAAGGUUCGAGUUGGGUGGAUAGUUCAAUACUUGAACAUAUCUACUACAAAAUGUGGGUCAUGGUUCUUUUAAAUUAGGUUAAAUUUUGCUACUGAUCUUUAUGUUAUGUGUAAGUUGUAGAUUUAGUCUUUGCACUUUAAUUUUGUUAUUUUUCUAGUCCUUACCAGCCUAACCAAAUAGUAGUUGUUAGAUUUUUUUAAGUGUAAAAAUAUUAUCACAUGUGAAAUGUCAUAACAGUUUUUUGUUUUUACAUAUUACUCACAAAAAAUCAACUAAUAAAUUUAAUAAUUAUUAUUUGUGUCAAAAUUAAAAUUUUAAAAUUUAAAAAGAAUUGCCAUUGUUUAAUUCAGAACAAAUUUUAAAAUUAAAAAAAAAAAACUAAAAUUCAUUUAGGUUCGGUUAACUCAUUUUGGCGACAAAUUCAUUUCAGUUUAUUUAAUUCUAGUGACUUAUUUGGUUUAGUAGAUUAUUCAUUAUAUAAAAAUCAAAUCGAUUAAACUAAUCAGAUAUACAUCUUUAAUGGUCAUUGAGAUGUUAACUAACGACGUUCACCAUUACUCCGACAUAAUUAAAAUACAUUAAAUAUAUUUCAUAUAUAAAAUGAGCUUUAUUUUUAUUAUCCAUAUCAAAGUUCUUUUUAUUAAAUUAUUUUAAGUAAUACUUUUUUUAUUGGUAAUAUUUUUAGAAUUAGACCAAUAGUUAGAUCUGUUCGAUCACUAAUUUACUGGUUUGAUUAAUUUAAUAAAUAAAUUCAUAAAAAAUUAAAAAUAAAAUACUUCUUUUAAUCAAUUUUUUAGUCGAUCAAUCAAUUCAUAAUUCAACUGGUCGACUAUCAUUCUCUAAAUUAAUACUUUGAUUGAUUCUCAAUUUAACCAAUAUAUAUAUAUUAAUUUGAAACUGUUGGUGUUGGAUAGUAAAGUAGCAUUGGCUAUAGCAAUGGUGUCAAAAGGGGGCACUUAGGAUUCGAGGGUGUCGAACCAUAACUGUGACUGGUCAGAAAUUGCCUGUGACCCUUUCCAUGACUCAAUGAGGUCAUUCCAUCAAUUCAAACCUCGAAAUCAUUAUAGUUAUCUGAGGCUAUCUAUAUCUGAAUUUCUAUUGGUUCAAAACAUUAUGGAACUUUGAUUUCUAACGUCUACUUGGCACAUGCAACACCACGUAUCAGUGUUGGAUAAUUUUGGGGGUUGAACGGUGAAUUUUGUAUUCAAAAAAAAAUCUCCAGUGCUGUUUGUUGAACCAAUGAGAUUGUGCCACUCGUGAAUCACAUCGGAUAACCCCUAUCAUAUCUACUUGGAACAGUCGCAACUACCUGUUUCAAAUUCAGGACCACUUUGGCUUUGCGUUUCAUUGCAUGGGUCUGAAAUUCUUGUUACGAGAAAAAGCUGUGUAAUAAAUAAUGUUAAUGUUUAUGGAAAGGAUUAUGUUUAUGUUUCAUCUUGUUUCUUGAUGAAGCCUAAUGAAUCAUAUAGUUUUCGACACUGAUAAUUAGACUACUCGUGGGUAUUUUUAGAAACUAUUAAGUCAAUUACAUAAUUAAAUUUUUGGGUUUUUAAAAAUAAAUUUCAAGUUUUCUUUAUAAGGGUUAAAAGGACGAGACUUGGUAUAAACUAGACCAACACCACUGACUAGUUGACAUCAAUUUAAAGUAUUUUGAUAGUGCCGCAAAACAAAUUAAGCCAGAUUUUUAUUCGUAAGAUAUUUUACAUUUAUGUAUUAUCAACCACUCAAAUCCUGUAAUUUGUAUUUUUAUGCUGCCAUGAUUUCAGCAUCAAUAAACUUCACCAAAAGAAAGGAAAAUCUAUUUCAUAUGGCUCAAAGAAACUUCUUUCUAUGAAAACUCCAUCUAUUUUUCCAUGAAAAUGAAAAGGAAGGGAGAGAGAAAAUCAACAUCAAGGGAGUUGUUUAAUUUAUCAAGUAAUAUUUGUGUGUAUUAAUUAUAAUCACGAAAAUAUUGAUUGAAUCACAAGUGAAGAUUUUAUAUUUAAUUUAUAAUUGACAAAAUUUUAAACUUUAUUUUUGAAUUAUUUUUCAUACAAAACAAUCCAUUUAACUGUUGUAGCAUUGCUUCAUUGUUCUAAACAAAACAAACAAAAAGGUUUCGAAAUUUUUCAACAGUCGAAUUUCCGUCACUAUGGUGGCCAAGCCUAUGAUCCUUAAAAAAUAUUGGUAGCCUGUUAAGUGAAAUUUUGUGGAUUAAAGAUUGCCAAGUGGACAUGCAUGGCCAACAUCAAAAUCUUGGAAGCUCCAAUGAAAUGAAAGAUAGAGAUAUUACGUAGAUAAGGAACCUUACUCUCACCUUCCUAUAUAAUAAACGCAUCGGAUUGCCCCUUCAAUCACUCACCCAUCACCAACAAAAUCAACUGCUUCACAAUGGCCUCUACAACCAUGGCUCUUUCUUCCCCAUCAUUCGCCGGUAAGGCAGUGAAGUUCUCCCCUUCCACCCCUGAAAUCCAGGGAACUGGCCGUGUUUCCAUGAGGAAAACCACCAAGCCUGUUCCUUCUGGUAGCCCAUGGUACGGUCCUGACCGAGUUUUGUACUUGGGUCCACUUUCCGGUGAGCCACCAUCUUACUUGACCGGUGAGUUCCCUGGUGACUAUGGUUGGGACACUGCUGGACUCUCAGCUGAUCCCGAGACCUUUGCUAGGAACCGUGAGCUCGAAGUCAUUCACUGCAGAUGGGCCAUGUUGGGAGCUCUUGGGUGUGUUUUCCCUGAGCUGUUGGCUAGGAACGGUGUCAAGUUCGGUGAAGCUGUAUGGUUCAAGGCCGGGUCUCAAAUCUUCAGUGAGGGUGGACUUGACUACUUGGGUAACCCAAGCUUGAUCCAUGCUCAAAGCAUUUUGGCCAUCUGGGCUUGCCAAGUUAUCUUGAUGGGAGCCGUCGAGGGCUACCGUAUUGCCGGUGGACCACUCGGUGAAGUGACUGACCCAUUGUACCCAGGUGGCAGCUUUGACCCAUUGGGUCUUGCUGAUGACCCAGAGGCAUUCGCUGAGCUCAAGGUGAAAGAGAUCAAGAACGGUAGGUUGGCUAUGUUCUCAAUGUUCGGGUUCUUCGUUCAGGCCAUCGUGACCGGAAAGGGACCAUUGGAGAACUUGGCUGACCACCUUGCUGACCCAGUCAACAACAAUGCUUGGGCCUAUGCCACCAACUUUGUCCCCGGAAAGUGAACUUAGAGAGUGAGAAGGGAUUUGUCUUGUUUAUGUUUUUAUUUGUUGGUGUGAAUUUAAAUUUGUUGCACAAUCAAUGAAAGUAUAAUGUGAAUUUUGUGUGCUCAAUUUUUUUGACUGUUCCAAGUCCAUUUGUUUCAAAAAUGAAAAUGGUAAAAACAGGUGAAGCACAUGACGCUAUAGACAAAACGAAAAAUAAAACUGUAAAUUUCGACAAAUUAAGUAUAAAUAUAUUCCCGAAUAAACUUCUCAGCGUUCUAUUUAGUAUCUUG